rnacentral:rRNA from 1 species
AACACAAAUGAUCCUCGCAUAGAUGAAGAACAUCGCGAAAUGCGAUAGUUGGUGUGAAAUGUAGAAUCCCAUGAACCGUUGCGUCUUUGAACGCAAGUUGGGCCCCAAUCCAUUAAGUUGAGGGCACGUCUGUUGCCUGGGCGUCA